rnacentral:rRNA from 1 species
UCGGUCGAAAGAAGCAAAAUGUAAUCGAGCACUGAUUUAAGCUUGCUUCUAUGACAUUAGCGGCGGACGGGUGAGUAACACGUGGGCAACCUGCCUGUAAGACUGGGAUAACUCCGGGAAACCGGAGCUAAUACCGGAUAACAUUUUCUCUUGCAUAAGAGAAAAUUGAAAGAUGGUUUCGGCUAUCACUUACAGAUGGGCCCGCGGUGCAUUAGCUAGUUGGUGAGGUAACGGCUCACCAAGGCAACGAUGCAUAGCCGACCUGAGAGGGUGAUCGGCCACACUGGGACUGAGACACGGCCCAGACUCCUACGGGAGGCAGCAGUAGGGAAUCUUCCGCAAUGGACGAAAGUCUGACGGAGCAACGCCGCGUGAGUGAUGAAGGCUUUCGGGUCGUAAAACUCUGUUGUUAGGGAAGAACAAGUACAAGAGUAACUGCUUGUACCUUGACGGUACCUAACCAGAAAGCCACGGCUAACUACGUGCCAGCAGCCGCGGUAAUACGUAGGUGGCAAGCGUUAUCCGGAAUUAUUGGGCGUAAAGCGCGCGCAGGCGGUUUCUUAAGUCUGAUGUGAAAGUUUACUGAUAGAAAGUGAAAGGAGAAAUGGGUAAUGGGUUAGCGAUGAAAAAAAGGAAGGAGACCUUGUAACCGUAAAAAGUCAUAGAGUAGGGAGGGAGCUCACAGGGAAUAGGAUGCCUUUUUGGUCUGUAAGUUUUCGAGCGGCGGGUUAUGUUAGGGAGCAAAACAGGAUUGAAUACACAGGUAUUUCUUCCCGUAAAUAAGGAGUGAUAAGUAUUAGGGGGGGUUCUCCUUUUUGUUAUGCAGCUAAGUCAUCAAGCAAUCAUCGUGCGUAGUAGGGUGGCAAGCGUGAUUUUAAAUAAAAUUGACGGGGGCGCGCACCAGCGGUGGAGCAUCUGGUUUUAUUGAUAGCAACGAGAAGAACCUUAUUAGCGUGGUGGCAUCCUCAUAGUAAUACAGAGGUAGAGCGUUUUCGUUCGUGGGAGAGAGAGACAGCAGGUGCAUGGUUGUUGUCAUCUCUCGUCGUGAGAUGAUGGGUGGAGAGCCGCAAUGAGCGCGCGCCGGGUUUUUAGUAGCCAGCAGUAAGUUGGGGACUCUAAAAUGACUGCCGCCUGACAAACUAGUGGGAGGGGGGGAUGAGGUCAAAUGUGCAUGCCCCCUAUGUCAUGGGGGGUACACGUGUUACACUGGAUGGGACAAAGGGCUCCAAGACCGCGAGGGCAAGCCAAUCCCAUAUAAACAUGUUCAGUGCGGAUAGUAUGGUGCAACUCUCGUACACGAAGAGGGAAUCGCUAGUAAUCGCGGAUCAGCAUACCGCGGUGAAUACGUUCCCGGGCCUUGUACACACCGCCCGUCACACCACGAGAGUCGUUAUCACCCGAAGUCGGUGCGCAACAGUAUACAUCGGGCUGCGCCCGGCGACGC